AUUCUACUCCCUCCGUUGCACAAUACAUGCCUUCUAUUUGUCAAAAUAUAUAUGUAUCUAGACUUGUUUUAGUAUAUAGGUACAUCCAUGCACAAAUGGAAGUCAAGUAUUUUGGAACGGAGGGAGUACACA
rnacentral:pre_miRNA from 1 species